UGGGCUGUUCAGGCAUUUUUAUUAAUAUGUCCAAUACAUUAUCCAUGUAAUACACUUGUCUGGUGGGGCCUCCCAUGGCUCCGGAGCUGGCAGGUGGGGGCUGGGGGCUGGCCCACUGAGGGGGGGAAUCUGAGUGUGCAGUGUGAUGGAUCAGUUUGCAUUACCCACCCAGGCUGGCCUUCGUCUGUCAGGAUUAAUAGGAUAACGGCACGGAGAGCAGGAAGGGGAUAAAGUGGCCCAGCCCUCUCACCUUAAGGUAAAGGGACCUGGGCCAGAGAGGGCCAGAGGCUUGCUUGUGCAAACCCAUAUGUGGAAAGAGUGGCUGAAUCUGGGCGCUCAAAGUCUCAUGUCACAGCUGAUGUGAUGCCACAGCCCGGCCCGGCCUCUGUGGCCUCCUCUGGAGCCUGAU
rnacentral:lncRNA from 1 species